rnacentral:rRNA from 1 species
AGCGGCAGCACGGGUACUUGUACCUGGUGGCGAGCGGCGGACGGGUGAGUAAUGCCUAGGAAUCUGCCUGGUAGUGGGGGAUAACGCUCGGAAACGGACGCUAAUACCGCAUACGUCCUACGGGAGAAAGCAGGGGACCUUCGGGCCUUGCGCUAUCAGAUGAGCCUAGGUCGGAUUAGCUAGUUGGUGAGGUAAUGCUCACCAAGGCGACGAUCCGUAACUGGUCUGAGAGGAUGAUCAGUCACACUGGAACUGAGACACGGUCCAGACUCCUACGGGAGGCAGCAGUGGGGAAUAUUGGACAAUGGGCGAAAAGCCUGAUCCAGCCAUGCCGCGUGUGUGAAGAAGGUCUUCGGAUUGUAAAGCACUUUAAGUUGGGAGGAAGGGCAGUUACCUAAUACGUAUCUGUUUUGACGUUACCGACAGAAUAAGCACCGGCUAACUCUGUGCCAGCAGCCGCGGUAAUACAGAGGGUGCAAGCGUUAAUCGGAAUUACUGGGCGUAAAGCGCGCGUAGGUG